rnacentral:lncRNA from 1 species
UCCCAAAACCCCACUCCCCAACUCUAAACCCUAAAACCUAAACCCUAAACCCUAAAUCCUAAACUCCACCCCUUAACUCUAAACCCUAAACCCGACCCCUAAACUCUAAACCCUAAACCCUAAACUCUAAACCCUAAACCCAAACCCCUAAACCCUAAAUCCUAAACCCUAAACCCUAAACCCCACCCCUUAACUCUAAACCCUAAUGUCUAAAUUAAUUUACCAUUGGAGUAUA